rnacentral:rRNA from 1 species
UACGUAGGGUCCGAGCGUUGUCCGGAAUUAUUGGGCGUAAAGAGCGUGUAGGCGGCUUGGUAGGUCCGCUGUGAAAACUCGAGGCUCAACCUCGAGAUGUCGGCGGAAACCACUUGGCUAGAGUCCGGAAGAGGAGAGUGGAAUUCCCGGUGUAGCGGUGAAAUGCGCAGAUAUCGGGAAGAACACCUAUGGCGAAGGCAGCUCUCUGGGCCGGUACUGACGCUGAGACGCGAAAGCGUGGGGAGCGAACAGG